CAAGUCGAGCGAACAGACGAGGAGCUUGCUCCUCUGACGUUAGCGGCGGACGGGUGAGUAACACGUGGAUAACCUACCUAUAAGACUGGGAUAACUUCGGGAAACCGGAGCUAAUACCGGAUAAUAUAUUGAACCGCACGGUUCAAUAGUGAAAGACGGUUUUGCUGUCACUUAUAGAUGGAUCCGCGUCGCAUUAGCUAGUUGGUAAGGUAACGGCUUACCAAGGCAACGAUGCGUAGCCGACCUGAGAGGGUGAUCGGCCACACUGGAACUGAGACACGGUCCAGACUCCUACGGGAGGCAGCAGUAGGGAAUCUUCCGCAAUGGGCGAAAGCCUGACGGAGCAACGCCGCGUGAGUGAUGAAGGUCUUCGGAUCGUAAAACUCUGUUAUUAGGGAAGAACAAAUGUGUAAGUAACUAUGCACGUCUUGACGGUACCUAAUCAGAAAGCCACGGCUAACUACGUGCCAGCAGCCGCGGUAAUACGUAGGUGGCAAGCGUUAUCCGGAAUUAUUGGGCGUAAAGCGCGCGUAGGCGGUUUUUUAAGUCUGAUGUGAAAGCCCACGGCUCAACCGUGGAGGGUCAUUGGAAACUGAAAAACUUGAGUGCAGAAGAGGAAAGUGGAAUUCCAUGUGUAGCGGUGAAAUGCGCAGAGAUAUGGAGGAACACCAGUGGCGAAGGCGACUUUCUGGUCUGUAACUGACGCUGAUGUGCGAAAGCGUGGGGAUC
rnacentral:rRNA from 1 species